AAACAAUCUGUCCUCUCACAGCGUUUCUGUGUUUAAAAAGUUAAAAAUAUCAAAAGUAGGUCAUUCAGAUUCAGAAGCAGACCUGUGCAGUCAGGACACGAAGAAUGUGUGGGCAGAUCUGGGUUGCUGUUAAAGGGCACCUUACAUGGUGUUUGGACAUAAACGUUUUGUCUUCUCCAGAUGUUCACUGAUGGACUGGAGUGCUGUGGAUUAUUGUGAUGUUUUUAUCAGCUGUUUGGACUCUCGAUCUGACGGCACCCAUUCACUUCCAUUGGAAGACACUGAUGCAAUGCUGCAUUACAUUACAUGUAUAUAUAAAAAAUAAA